GAGUUUGAUCCUGGCUCAGAGCGAACGUUAGCGGCGCGCCUAACACAUGCAAGUCGCACGAGAAGGGGGCAACCCCUGAAAGUGGCGCACGGGUGCGUAACACGUAGAUAACCUGCCCUUCGUUGGGGGAUAACGUUCCGAAAGGAGCGCUAAUACCGCAUACAGCAUCUGGGGGUUUGCUUCUGGAUGGCAAAGGCUGGGACCCGCAAGGGCCAGUCGACGAAGGAGGGGUCUGCGGCCCAUCAGCUAGUUGGCGAGGUAAUGGCUCACCAAGGCAAAGACGGGUAGCUGGUCUGAGAGGAUGAUCAGCCACACUGGUACUGGAACACGGACCAGACUCCUACGGGAGGCAGCAGUGGGGAAUCUUGGUCAAUGGGCGAAAGCCUGAACCAGCGACGCCGCGUGAGUGAUGAAGGCCUUCGGUUGUAAGCUCUGUGGGCGAGACGAAAGCCUACGUUCUAACAGACGUAGUUUGACGGUAUCGCCUUAGCAAGCACCGGCUAACUCUGUGCCA
rnacentral:rRNA from 1 species